UACGAAGGGGGCGAGCGUUGUUCGGAUUUACUGGGCGUAAAGGGCGCGUAGGCGGCGCAACAAGUCAGGCGUGAAAGCCCCGGGCUCAACCUGGGAGGUGCGCUUGGGACUGUGGGGCUUGAGUUCGGGAGAGGAGCGUGGAAUUCCCAGUGUAGAGGUGAAAUUCGUAGAUAUUGGGAAGAACACCGGUGGCGAAGGCGGCGCUCUGGACUGAGACUGACGCUGAGGCGCGAAAGCGUGGGGAGCAAACAGG
rnacentral:rRNA from 1 species